UUUUUUUAAAUUUAUAAACAUCCGCGAAAUUGCAUUUGCCAAAUCCACCAGACUCCAUGUAAAUAAUCAGUAAUUUUAGCAUCGUAAAAUAC